ACGAUACAAAAUCUGCGCGCGAAAAAUUGUGGUUUUCGAGAUUGCUCCGAUGAGAAAUGCGAUGAGAUCAGGGUUUGAAAUUAUCGGUGGCUCACGAAUCCGACAUCCAAGCAAUCAGGUGCAUCUGCAGCUUGCAUUAGCUUUUUGCUCGUGGAGAUUAAAUGAAAUUUACGGGUAAAGCCUAUGAGCACUAUGAUUCAGAAAUGGACCAACUCGAAGGAUGAGGAACCAAAACCGCGUGCCAGCCUCAUGCUAAGUUCAAUCUGAGCCGUUUACUUGUUUCCAUCCAGAGUACAAUUGAGAAGAGAUCAGCAAGGAAUGAACGGGUAUAGAGAGAAGAGGUAUGGAUGGAAACAAACCAGUGGCACAGCAUUG